rnacentral:rRNA from 1 species
AUUGAACGCUGGCGGCAGGCUUAACACAUGCAAGUCGAGCGCGCGGCGGACGGGUGAGUAAUGUCUGGGAAACUGCCUGAUGGAGGGGGAUAACUACUGGAAACGGUAGCUAAUACCGCAUACCAUCAGAUGUGCCCAGAGGGGAUUAGCUAGUAGUGGGGGUAAUGGCUCACCUAGGCGACGAUCGCUAGCUGGUCUGAGAGAAUGAUCAGCCCAACUGGUACUGAGUAACGGCCCAGUCUCCUACGGCAGGCAGCAGUGGGAAUUAUUCCACAAUGGGCGCAAGCCUGAUGCAUCCAUGCCGCGUGUAUGAAGAAGGCCUUAGAGUUUUAAAGUACUUUCAGCGGGGAGGCGUUACCCGCAGAAGAAGCACCGGCUAACUCCGUGCCAGCAGCCGCGGUAAUUC